rnacentral:rRNA from 1 species
GGACUACAGGGGUAUCUAAUCCCGUUCGCUCCCCUAGCUUUCGUCCCUGAGCGUCAGAGACUUCCCAGGACACUGCCUACGCCUUUGGUGUUCCUCCGAAUAUCUACGCAUUUCACCACUACACUCGGAAUUCCGUGUCCCUCUGAAGCCCUCAAGUCAGCCAGUUUUCGAAGCACUUCCCCAGUUAAGCCGGGAACUGUCACUCCAAACUUGGUUGACCGCCUGCGGACGCUUUACGCCCAGUAACUCCGGACAACGCUUGCCCCCUACGUAUUACCGCGGCUGCUGGCAC